rnacentral:misc_RNA from 1 species
GAUGAAGAACGCAGCGAAAUGCGAUAAGUAAUGUGAAUUGCAGAAUUCAGUGAAUCAUCGAAUCUUUGAACGCACAUUGCGCCCCUUGGUAUUCCGGGGGGCAUGCCUGUUCGAGCGUCAUUAUCACCCCUCAAGCUUUGCUUGGUGUUGGGGCCUGCUGUAAUAGGCAGCCCUUAAAAUCAGUGGCGGUGCUUCAAGGCUCUAAGCGUAGUAAUUCUCCUCGCUAUAGUGUCUAGUGGUUGCCAGCCAGAACCCCCCAAUUUUCAUGAUUGACCUCGGAUCAGGUAGGGAUACCCGCUGAACUUAAGCAUAUCAAUAAGCGGAGGA